rnacentral:rRNA from 1 species
ACGUAGGGUGCGAGCGUUAAUCGGAAUUACUGGGCGUAAAGCGUGCGCAGGCGGUUUAGUAAGACAGGCGUGAAAUCCCCGGGCUCAACCUGGGAACUGCGCUUGUGACUGCUAAGCUAGAGUACGGCAGAGGGGGGUGGAAUUCCACGUGUAGCAGUGAAAUGCGUAGAGAUGUGGAGGAACACCGAUGGCGAAGGCAGCCCCCUGGGCCGAUACUGACGCUCAUGCACGAAAGCGUGGGUAGCAAACAGGAUUAGAUACCCUGGUAGUCCACGCCCUAAACGAUGUCAACUAGGUGUUGGGAGGGUAAAACCUUUUAGUACCGGAGCUAACGCGUGAAGUUGACCGCCUGGGGAGUACGGCCGCAAGGUUA